rnacentral:tRNA from 1 species
GGAUAACUCAGUUGGUUAGAGCGUGGUGCUGAUGACGGCAAGGUUGCAGGUUCGAUCCCUGCAUGGGGCAUCG